GGCAGCUAGAGAGGGAUGCUGGGUCUGGGGCUUGCAAUCAAGUGCCGCAGCCGGAAUCAUCAAGCUUGAAGGAGUGACACAAAGGCCUGGGGCCACUGAAGAUGACCCACGGGUGCCUCUGCCAAGGCCAGUCCAGGACAGUGGUGUUGAGCGUCCAGAGCCACCAGGGUGGCACCAAGAUGAUGGUCCCCCAGGAGCCACCUCUGCUCAGCCUGGCCUUGUCUGCUUCCACGGCAAUGUGGUUCCUUCCCAUCUGUCCAUGCCAUGAGCUGCCUGUCCUUUCAGUCAGCUGGUCAAAGCCACAGGACUGAAGCAGAUGGCUGAGCCUGCAGAUGGUACAAGGCUUCUGAUGGAAGGACCUAGCAAUUGAGGUAAAAGUGCAGCAAAAUGUUCAAGAAAAAUAUCUGAGCCCGCGGCAAACCACAGUCAUCAUUGCCCUUCUGUUAAACCAGAAGG
rnacentral:lncRNA from 1 species